rnacentral:rRNA from 1 species
UACAGAGGUCCCAAGCGUUGUUCGGAUUACUGGGCGUAAAGGGUGCGUAGGUUGUGAGGUCAGUCGGAUGUGAAAUCUCCGAGCUCAACUCGGAAAUGGCAUUGGAAACUACCUUGCUCGAGGGUUGGAGGGGGGACUGGAAUUCUCGGUGUAGCAGUGAAAUGCGUAGAUAUCGAGAGGAACACCAGUGGCGAAGGCGAGUCCCUGGACAACUCCUGACACUGAGGCACGAAAGCUAGGGGAGCAAACAGG